rnacentral:tmRNA from 2 species
CCCCUCGAUUUCCGUCGCGGGAUCGCCUAUAUGGGUGUCGCUCACCUUCGGGUGGCUAUGGCGAUAAACGGCAGGUGGAAUAAGUGUUGCGGACCCGGGGGCAGUGCCCGGCGCCUCCACCAUUCAUCCCUCGAGGUCGUUCGGGGCAGGAUGGGGGCGAAACAGGUUCGACGCGCAUGGUAAAGCCCUGUCUUUUGCCCGGCAUUGUACCGCCGUUAUCGGGCUAAUUCACAAGUGCCAACGAUAACAGCCGCGAGGCUGUGGCGCUCGCUGCCUAAAUAGGUAAGCGCCGUCCGGGGGGAACGGGGCAACAGAAUCCCCCCACU